rnacentral:rRNA from 1 species
UACGUAGGGAGCAAGCGUUGUCCGGAAUCAUUGGGCGUAAAGCGCGCGUAGGUGGCCUCAUAAGUCCGCUGUGAAAGUCAAAGGCUCAACCUUUGAAAGCCGGUGGAUACUGUGGGGCUAGAGUACGGAAGAGGCGAGUGGAAUUCCUGGUGUAGCGGUGGAACGCGCAGAUAUCAGGAGGAACACCAAUAGCGAAGGCAGCUCGCUGGGACGUUACUGACACUGAGGCGCGAAAGCGUGGGGAGCGAACAGG